CGGAGCCCGCUGAACGGCGAGGCGGGGAGGGGACGCGGGGCGCAGACGAGGACAGGGACCCGGAGUCCCACGUGCAGGGCAGCGUCGGUGUCAUCACCGUCCCCAUGCUUAUAUAACAGCACUCAAGAGGAAACUACUAACAAGCCCAUCUGAUGGUUCGUGCCAGCUGUUUUAGUGGAGGCAUGCUGGAUGCAACUGAGCUCCACCUUCUUUGUCGAGCAAAACCUUUGGAAAAUGUCACAGCCUGAAGAAUAUUGGGCAUUUAAAAUCUGGCUCCAAAUUUCCUCAUGAACCAAUCUGCUGCUCUGCACCUGUAGAAGGGGACAGGUGGGUUGCUGCAAAGUAGUCUGCAAACCCCUCCUCAGUGAGCCCCACUGUUAGCCAGUCUCUUGACUCUGCAUGAGGCAGCGACUCCUGCUGAGUUCCUAUGUUUUCUCAGAUAAACACUGAAUGGAUAUUUUACCCUACAGGACACUUCUUACAGAU